rnacentral:rRNA from 1 species
UACAGAGGGUGCAAGCGUUAAUCGGAAUUACUGGGCGUAAAGCGUGCGUAGACGGUUGCGUAAGUCAGAUGUGAAAGCCCCGGGCUCAACCUGGGAAUUGCAUUUGAGACUGCGUAGCUAGGGUGCGGAAGAGGGAAGCGGAAUUUCCGGUGUAGCGGUGAAAUGCGUAGAUAUCGGAAGGAACACCAGUGGCGAAAGCGGCUUCCUGGUCCAGCACCGACGUCAGGCACGAAAGCGUGGGGAGCAAACAGGG